AACAUCGCGCACCUGCGGGAACCUGCGGAAGGAUCAUUACCGAGUUUACAACUCCCAAACCCCUGUGAACAUACCAAUUGUUGCCUCGGCGGAUCAGCCCGCUCCCGGUAAAACGGGACGGCCCGCCAGAGGACCCCUAAACUCUGUUUCUAUAUGUAACUUCUGAGUAAAACCAUAAAUAAAUCAAAACUUUCAGCAAUGGAUCU
rnacentral:misc_RNA from 1 species